UACAGAGGUCUCAAGCGUUGUUCGGAUUCAUUGGGCGUAAAGGGUGCGUAGGCGGUUCAGUAAGUCGGGUGUGAAAACUUUGGGCUUAACCCAAAGCGUGCAUCCGAUACUGCUGUGACUUGAGUUCGGUAGGGGAGUGGGGAAUUCCUAGUGUAGCGGUGAAAUGCGCAGAUAUUAGGAGGAACACCGGUGGCGAAGGCGCCACUCUGGGCCGAAACUGACGCUGAGGAGCGAAAGCAUGGGUAGCAAACAGG
rnacentral:rRNA from 1 species